GGAGCGGGCGGCGGACUUCGUGCGAGAUCCACGGCCCUCCUCUGCUUGGAACCCGCGGCGUGGACCCUAUAAAACUCGGCCCCGUCCUCUGUUUCUCCGCUGCAUCUAAUCACCAUCGGAGAGAGAGAGGGUGGCGGUGUGCGCCGCCGGGGGCCUCCUCGGUUGUGGUCAGAAACGAGUCGAUGAUGGGGCCUCGGGGCAUGUCCGAGACGUCGUGAAGCCAUGUGGCGUGUGGGAGAUGUGGUGGUUGUGUGCGGGAGCCCCAGUUUAGGUUGAAUUGCUCACCAGAAUCAUGUUGGUCGUAGAUCCGCUUCGAUUGGAAACGGCGCUGUCGACACCACGGAUCCAAGCAGCGAGGACACGGGUCACUUGAAGAUCAUCC
rnacentral:lncRNA from 7 species